rnacentral:rRNA from 1 species
GACGAACGCUGGCGGCGUGCUUAACACAUGCCAGUCGAACGGAAAGGCCCUGCUUUUGUGGGGUGCUCGAGUGGCGAACGGGUGAGUAACACGUGAGUAACCUGCCCUUGACUUUGGUAUAACUUCAGGAAACUGGGUCUAAUACCGGAUAGGAUCUCCUGCUGCAUGGUGGGGGUUGGAAAGUUUCGGCGGUUGGGAAUGGACUCGCGGCUUAUCAGCUUUUUGGUGGGGUAGUGGCUUACCAAGGCUUUGACGGGUAGCCGGCCUGAGAGGGUGACCGGCAACAUUGGGACUGAGAUACGGCCCAGACUCCUACGGGAGGCAGAAGUGGGGAAUAUUGCACAAUGGGCGGAAGCCUGAUGCAGCAACGCCGCGUGCGGGAUGACGGCCUUCGGGUUGUAACCCGCUUUCGCCUGUGACGAAGCGUGAGUGACGGUAAUGGGUAAAGAAGCACCGGCUAACUACGUG